AGUGAAAUGGGAACAAAAAGGUUAAAUACACCCCCUUGUAUCGAAUCGAGGGUUCGAUCCCCUCCCUGCGCACCA
rnacentral:tRNA from 1 species